GACAGGGUGUAGGAUAGCGCAGCCGGUUGUUUGAGACUGCUGCGAGGGAACGUCUGCGCUGCACGACGCCGGGAAAAACGCACCCGCUCGCCUGAGAGACUUCCUUUCACCUUCGUCUAGCGCUCUCCUUUAGCCAAGAGGCGGGAGGAGUCUGGGAAAAUACGUGGCACUCUCUUGRUAACAUGCAAUUGAGAAUUUUUAUGUUCCUUCCUUCCCAAGGGAAGCCUUUGAAGGAGUCCUCCUUCUUUGAGUUCCUGUAAAAGAGGGUUUUCUAGGCUCUGAUUCCAGCGUGGACAGGCCUUCAGACUAGAGCAGAAAGUGGGGCCGAUUUCCUGCGUGGUGUUCAGUGCCCCUCGCCCGCAGCCGGCCGGGGGGAGGUGAGGGCGAGGAAGCCUCCCCCACCGCUGCCACGGCGGGAUCCUUUAACGGGCCUUCUGCAGGGCGGUGCCAUGCCAGGUGCAGCGCGUCCCGGAGCAGAAGCGGGAAGGGCCCUGCAUCCGCUGAGCAGAGACACGCUCCUUCGGUUAAACGAUUAAAUGGAGGUACUCUGCCCCAUGGAGCAUUGCGUUUGGAUUUGUAUAUCCUGACAGCACAGGGUGGAUGAGUGAAACUUCUCAWCCAUUACUUCGCUGAAAGAUGCCUGCUCUAAAAAUAUAGGAUAUGGCUCCAGAUCUCUGUUCUGAGAACAGCUGGUCACGUUCAAAAUGAAUGCCUAAAGAAAAUAGCAAAUUUGAGAAGAAAUGCGAAUUCCUGAAUUUUGGCAAGGAAAGGCCGGCCGGAGAUAGUAAUGGUUCACAAGCUGUUCAGAUCAGUGCUCCAAGGGCUCCGUCAGCCAGCACUCCGUUCUGGUUUCAGCAGUCCAGCACCCUCUUCAUCGGCGUCUGCCGUCCAGCCAGUGGGAUGGGAAUCUGCAGAAGACCUGGACGCCGGCAGAGUGCUGGGGUGGUCCUGCAAGCCUGGGACCGUGUUACGUGACCGCAGCACUGGCCUGAGCUGUGAGCAAGGGGAUUGGCCUGACRACUGGAAGUCUCUGCGGAUGAAAGGAGAAGCAAGCUAUGAAUUCCCACGGGGGUACCCAGAGGUUUUGCGYAGGCUCCCUUGUGUUAGCAGGCUCCUGGCUGACCUUGCACCCGUCUCGCUCUUGGGGGAGCGCUGCCCAGCAAGGACUCGCUCUGGACCAGGGUGGUGA
rnacentral:lncRNA from 1 species